rnacentral:rRNA from 1 species
UUUAGAGUUUGAUCUUGGCUCAGGACGAACGCUGGCGGCGUGCUUAACACAUGCAAGUCGAACGAUGAAGCCUAGCUUGCUAGGUGGAUUAGUGGCGAACGGGUGAGUAAUACGUGAGUAACCUACCUUUAACUCUGGGAUAAGCCUGGGAAACUGGGUCUAAUACCGGAUACGACCAAUCUCCGCAUGGGGUGUUGGUGGAAAGCGUUAUGUAGUGGUUAUAGAUGGGCUCACGGCCUAUCAGCUUGUUGGUGAGGUAACGGCUCACCAAGGCGACGACGGGUAGCCGGCCUGAGAGGGUGACCGGCCACACUGGGACUGAGACACGGCCCAGACUCCUACGGGAGGCAGCAGUGGGGAAUAUUGCACAAUGGGCGCAAGCCUGAUGCAGCGACGCCGCGUGAGGGAUGACGGCCUUCGGGUUGUAAACCUCUGUUAGCAGGGAAGAAGAGAGAUGACGUCC